UACAGAGGGUGCGAGCGUUAAUCGGAAUUACUGGGCGUAAAGGGUGUGUAGGCGGUUAGAUAAGUUAGGUGUGAAAGGCCCGGGCUUAACCUGGGAAUUGCGCCUGAUACUGUCUAGCUAGAGUAUUGUAGAGGAAAGUGGAAUUUCCGGUGUAGCGGUGAAAUGCGUAGAUAUCGGAAGGAACAUCAGUGGCGAAGGCGACUUUCUGGACAAAUACUGACGCUGAGACACGAAAGCAUGGGGAGCAAACAGG
rnacentral:rRNA from 1 species